GACGAACGCUGGCGGCGUGCUUAACACAUGCAAGUCGAACGGUAAGGCCCUUCGGGGUACACGAGUGGCGAACGGGUGAGUAACACGUGGGUGAUCUGCCCUGCACUUUGGGAUAAGCCUGGGAAACUGGGUCUAAUACCGAAUAUGACCAUGGACUUCACGGUUUGUGGUGGGAAGCUUUUGCGGUGUGGGAUGGGCCCGCGGCCUAUCAGCUUGUUGGUGGGGUAAUGGCCUACCAAGGCGACGACGGGUAGCCGGCCUGAGAGGGUGACCGGCCACACUGGGACUGAGAUACGGCCCAGACUCCUACGGGAGGCAGCAGUGGGGAAUAUUGCACAAUGGGCGCAAGCCUGAUGCAGCGACGCCGCGU
rnacentral:rRNA from 1 species